UAGGGAAUCUUCCGCAAUGGGCGAAAGCCUGACGGAGCAACGCCGCGUGAGUGAUGAAGGUCUUCGGAUCGUAAAACUCUGUUAUUAGGGAAGAACAAAUGUGUAAGUAACUAAGCACGUCUUGACGGUACCUAAUCAGAAAGCCACGGCUAACUACGUGCCAGCAGCCGCGGUAAUACGUAGGUGGCAAGCGUUAUCCGGAAUUAUUGGGCGUAAAGCGCGCGUAGGCGGUUUUUUAAGUCUGAUGUGAAGGCCCACGGCUCAACCGUGGAGGGUCAUUGGAAACUGGAAAACUUGAGUGCAGAAGAGGAAAGUGGAAUUCCAUGUGUAGCGGUGAAAUGCGCAGAGAUAUGGAGGAACACCAGUGGCGAAGGCGACUUUCUGGUCUGUAACUGACGAUGAUGUGCGAAAGCGUGGGGAUCAAACAGG
rnacentral:rRNA from 1 species